rnacentral:rRNA from 1 species
CGGCGGAGCAUGCGGAUUAAUUCGAUGCAACGCGAAGAACUUACCAAGGCUUGACAUAUACGAGGAAACGUCUGGAAACAGUCGCCCCGCAAGGUCUCUAUACAGGUGGUGCAUGGUUGUCGUCAGCUCGUGUCGUGAGAUGUUGGGUUAAGUCCCGCAACGAGCGCAACCUCGUCUAUGUUGCCAGCACGUAAUGGUGGGAACUCAUGGGAUACUGCCGGGGUCAACUCGGAGGAAGGUGGGGAUGACGUCAAAUCAUCAUGCCCCUUAUGUCUUGGGCUUCACGCAUGCUACAAUGGCCGGUACAAAGGGCUGCAAUACCGUAAGGUGGAGCGAAUCCCAAAAAGCCGGUCCCAGUUCGGAUUGAGGUCUGCAACUCGACCUCAUGAAGUCGGAGUCGCUAGUAAUCGCAGAUCAGCAACGCUGCGGUGAAUACGUUCCCGGGUCUU